rnacentral:rRNA from 1 species
AUGUUCAGAUAGCCAUGCACGUCUAAGUACAAACUAAAUGAUGGUGAAACUGCAAAUGGCUCAUUACAACGGUUAUGAUGUACCCGGGAGUUCCGAUGGAUAUUUCCAGUAACACUAGAACUAAUACAUGUCCCUGCGUUUAUUAGUUUCGCACAGUCCGUCGCUGAGUCAUGGUAAACAGUUGAUCGACUCGACGUCCCGGAACAGUUUCCGCCCCAUCAGCUUCGAUGGUUGGGUAUUGGCCUACCAUUGCAACAACGGGUAACGAGGAAUUAGGGUUUGAUUUCGGAGAGGGAGCCUGAGAAACGGCUACCACAUCUACGGAUGGCAGCAGGCGCGCAAAUUACCCAAUGCAGACACUGUGAGGUAGUGACGAGAAAUAAUAAAGCGGGACUUCUGUUUCGCUAUUAUAAUGAGGAAUAACCAAAGGUCAUUCCGAUUAGCAACUGAUGGGAAAGUCUGGUGCCAGCAGCCGCGGUAAUACCAGCGUCAGUAGCAUA